UACGAAGGAUCCAAGCGUUGUCCGGAUUCACUGGGCUUAAAGGGCGCGUAGGCGGCCUUUUAAGUCAGCGGUGAAAGCCUGUAGCUUAACUAUAGAAUUGCCAUUGAAACUGGAAGUCUCGAGUGUGGUUGAGGUAACUGGAAUAUAUCAUGUAGCGGUGAAAUGCUUAGAUAUGAUGUAGAACACCAAUUGCGAAGGCAGGUUACUGAGCCAUUACUGACGCUGAGGCACGAAAGCGUGGGGAGCAAACAGG
rnacentral:rRNA from 1 species